rnacentral:rRNA from 1 species
ACAGGGAUUGCCUCAGUAACUGCGAGUGAAGCGGCAAAAGCUCAAAUUUGAAAUCUGGCCCGUNUCCGGCGGCCCGAGUUGUAAUUUGGAGGGGCAUCUUCGGGGUGGGCGCCGUCCCAAGUUCCUCGGAACAGGACGUCACAGAGGGUGAGAAUCCCGUGUCUGGUCGGCUGCCCCGCUCCAUGUGAAGUGUCUCCGACGAGUCGAGUUGUUUGGGAAUGCAGCUCAAAAUGGGUGGUAAAUUUCAUCUAAAGCUAAAUAUUGGCGAGAGACCGAUAGCGCACAAGUAGAGUGAUCGAAAGAUGAAAAGCACUUUGAAAAGAGAGUUAAAAAGUACGUGAAAUUGUUGAAAGGGAAGCGCUUGAGACCAGACUCGUCGGCCGGCAACCAUCGUGCGCUUCUGCGCCGUGCAAUUGCCGACCGGCGGGCCAGCAUCGGUUCCUGCGGCGGGAAAAAGGCUGCGGCAAUGUGGCUCCUCUCGGGGAGUGGUUAUAGGCUCGAGCGUCAUGCCGCCUGUGGGGACCGAGGACCGCGCUUCGGCUAGGAUGCUGGCGUAAUGGUCAUAAGCGACCCGUCUUGAAACACGGACCAAGGAGUCUAACAUCUAUGCGAGUGUUCGGGUGGAAAACCCUUGCGCGUAAUGAAAGUGAACGGAGGUGGGAACCCCUCGGGGUGCACCAUCGACCGAUCCCGAUGUCUUCGGAAGGAUUUGAGUAGGAGCAUAGCUGUUGGGACCCGAAAGAUGGUGAACUAUGCCUGAAUAGGGUGAAGCCAGAGGAAACUCUGGUGGAGGCUCGCAGCGGUUCUGACGUGCAAAUCGAUCGUCAAAUUUGGGUAUAGGGGCGAAAGACUAAUCGAACCAUCUAG